rnacentral:rRNA from 1 species
CCUACGGGAGGCAGCAGUGAGGAAUAUUGGUCAAUGGGCGGAAGCCUGAACCAGCCAAGUAGCGUGCAGGAUGACGGCCCUACGGGUUGUAAACUGCUUUUAUACGGGAAUCACGCGCCUUACGUGUAGGACUUUGCAUGUACCGUAUGAAUAAGGACCGGCUAAUUCCGUGCCAGCAGCCGCGGUAAUACGGAAGGGCCGGGCGUUAUCCGGAUUUAUUGGGUUGAAAGGGAGCGUAGGCCGGAUGUCACGCUUGCUGUGAAAUGUCCGGGCGCAACCCGGGCCUUGCAGGGCAAACUGGCGUGCUUGAGUCCGCGGAAGGCAGGCGGAAUUCGUCGUGUAGCGGUGAAAUGCUUAGAUA